UGGCACAGUGGUGAAGCACUUGACUGCUAACCAAAAGGUCGGUGGUUCGAAUCCACC
rnacentral:tRNA from 1 species